GUAAAACGUCACCAAUAGUGAAAGCAAGAGAGAAAUGAAUUGUAUCAGAGGGACGGAUGUUACAUUUUUGGGAUGUUAAACUAGAUGUUCAAAGCUCAUAGUUCAUACUUUUUUGGUUUUAUUUUAAAAGUGUCAAACUUCUUUGUAACCAUUUACACUGAGGAAAAUGGACAGAUUAUGUGUAUUGCUGCUUGUGGGAAUGCUUUUUACAGCUAAUGAAGGCAAGAGUACUGAAAUAAAAGUUACCUCAUCUAAUUGCGGUGGUACAUAUACGUUGAACAGUGAUGAUUAUGUGAAAUUCACAGAGGAGCUUUUAUAUCAGAAUGCAAGUUUACUAUAAAGAUCCAAGAUUUCACGGAUAAUAUUUGUUCCUCUGCAGAAAUCUUUGAUGUGUCUAGCUGUAAAACUACAGUAGAAUAUCAUCAAGGUUCAUUUUCAUCUUCGUAUCCUG